UGGGGGAUAUUGCACAAUGGAGGAAACUCUGAUGCAGCAACGCCGCGUGAGGGAAGAAGGUCUUCGGAUUGUAAACCUUAGUAGUCAGGGACGAAAGAAAUGACGGUACCUGAAGAGUAAGCUCCGGCUAACUACGUGCCAGCAGCCGCGGUAAUACGUAGGGAGCGAGCGUUGUCCGGAUUUACUGGGUGUAAAGGGUGCGUAGGCGGGACUGCAAGUCAGACGUGAAAUACCGAGGCUUAACUUCGGGGCUGCGUUUGAAACUGUGGUUCUUGAGUGAAGUAGAGGCAGGCGGAAUUCCUAGUGUAGCGGUGAAAUGCGUAGAUAUUAGGAGGAACACCAGUGGCGAAGGCGGCCUGCUGGGCUUUAACUGACGCUGAAGCACGAAAGCAUGGGGAGCAAACAGGAUUAGAUACCCUGGUAGUCCAUGCCGUAAACGAUGAUAGCUAGGUGUGGGGGGACUGACCCCUUCCGUGCCGCAGCAAACGCAAUAAGCUAUCCACCUGGGGAGUACGACCGCAAGGUUGAAACUUAAAUGAAUUGACGGGGGUCAUAGCUGUUUCCU
rnacentral:rRNA from 1 species